rnacentral:rRNA from 1 species
GAAGCAGGGGAUAACACCUGGAAACAGAUGCUAAUACCGUAUAACAGAGAAAACCGCCUGGUUUUCUUUUAAAAGAUGGCUCUGCUAUCACUUCUGGAUGGACCCGCGGCGCAUUAGCUAGUUGGUGAGGUAACGGCUCACCAAGGCGAUGAUGCGUAGCCGACCUGAGAGGGUAAUCGGCCACAUUGGGACUGAGACACGGCCCAGACUCCUACGGGAGGCAGCAGUAGGGAAUCUUCCACAAUGGACGCAAGUCUGAUGGAGCAACGCCGCGUGAGUGAAGAAGGGUUUCGGCUCGUAAAGCUCUGUUGUUAAAGAAGAACGUGGGUGAGAGUAACUGUUCACCCAGUGACGGUAUUUAACCAGAAAGCCACGGCUAACUACGUGCCAGCAGCCGCGGUAAUACGUAGGUGGCAAGCGUUAUCCGGAUUUAUUGGGCGUAAAGCGAGCGCAGGCGGUCUUUUAAGUCUAAUGUGAAAGCCUUCGGCUCAACCGAAGAAGUGCAUUGGAAACUGGGAGACUUGAGUGCAGAAGAGGACAGUGGAACUCCAUGUGUAGCG